GAAGUAAACCGGGUGAUCGCUGUCUCGGCUUCAGGUCGGGAGAGAGGAAAGUCCGGGCUCCACAGAGCAGGAUACUCCGUAACGCGGAGUGGGGGUGACCUCAAGGAAAGUGCAACAGAAAAGAAACAGCCCACCCGGUGGAAGUGCAAACUUUUAGCGGCGGCAAUGGUGAAAAGGUGAGGUAAGAGCUCACCAGUACCAUCGGUGACGGUGGUAGCUUGGCAAACCCUAUCCGGAGCAAGAUCAAAUAGGAAAGUGUUUGAGGGUGGCUCGCCCGAAACUUUCGGGUUGAUUGCUUGAGCCUGUCGGCAACGGCAGGCCUAGAUUGAUGAUCACCUCUUCCUUGCUGGAUUCGUCCAUCAGGGGAGAACAAAACCCGGCUUAUGGUUUGCUUCGGUC
rnacentral:RNase_P_RNA from 1 species